UACGUAGGGGGCAAGCGUUAUCCGGAUUUACUGGGUGUAAAGGGAGCGUAGACGGCUGUGCAAGUCUGAAGUGAAAGGCAUGGGCUCAACCUGUGGACUGCUUUGGAAACUGUGCAGCUAGAGUAUCGGAGAGGUAAGUGGAAUUCCUAGUGUAGCGGUGAAAUGCGUAGAUAUUAGGAGGAACACCAGUGGCGAAGGCGGCUUACUGGACGAUGACUGACGUUGAGGCUCGAAAGCGUGGGGAGCAAACAGG
rnacentral:rRNA from 1 species